GGCGCGGCAGAUGGUGCAUCCUCACGGCUCCACGGCCAUCCCAAAGCACACCCCGACAGCGACAGGGCUGCCAGCACUUAGGGAUGGGGACUCCACACUGCACUGGAGAGGUACCAGUGUCACUUGUUCCUGAGCACGGAUCAGAUUUUCUGGGGACUCCUAAAGGGGUUCUGAGCUGGAGAGACACUUUGGACAACAGCCUGAAGUGACAAGACAAGAAGAAAUGGCUUAAAACUGACUGGUACUCCCACAAAUAAAAAGCCCACAGAUAAAAUCGCUUUACACCUUUA